CACGUAGGCGGCUUGUUAAGUCAGGGGUGAAAUCCUGGAGCUCAACUCCAGAACUGCCCUUGAUACUGGCGAGCUUGAGUUCGGGAGAGGUUGGUGGAACUGCGAGUGUAGAGGUGAAAUUCGUAGAUAUUCGCAAGAACACCAGUGGCGAAGGCGGCCAACUGGCCCGAUACUGACGCUGAGGUGCGAAAGCGUGGGGAGCAAACAGGAUUGGAUACCCUGGUAGUCCACGCCGUAAACGAUGGAUGCUAGCCGUUGGCGGGUUUACUCGUCAGUGGCGCAGCUAACGCUUUAAGCAUCCCGCCUGGGGAGUACGGUCGCAAGAUUAAA
rnacentral:rRNA from 1 species